rnacentral:rRNA from 1 species
AUUGAACGCUGGCGACAUGCCUUACACAUGCAAGUCGAACGGCAGCACGGGUUCUUGCACCUGGUGGCGAGUGGCGAACGGGUGAGUAAUACAUCUGAACAUGUCCUGUAGUUGGGGAUAGCCCGGCGAAAGCCGGAUUAAUACCUCAUACGAUCUACGGAUGAAAGCGGGGGACCUUCGGUCCUCGCGCUUUAGGGUUGGCCUAUGGCUUAUUAGCUAGUUGGUGGGGUAAAGGCCUACCAAGGCGACGAUCAGUAGCUGGUCUGAGAGGACGACCAGUCACACUGGGACUGAGACACGGCCCAGACUCCUACGGGAGGCAGCAGUGGGGAAUGUUGGACAAUGGGCGAAAGCCUGAUCCAGCAAUGCCGCGUGUGUGAAGAAGGCCUUCGGGUUGUAAAGCACUUUUGUCCGGAAAGAAAGCCUUGGCCCUAAUACGGUCGGGGGAUGACGGUACCGGAAGAAUAAGCACCGGCUAACUACGUG